rnacentral:rRNA from 1 species
GAUGAACGCUGGCGGCGUGCCUAAUACAUGCAAGUCGAGCGAACAGAUGAGGAGCUUGCUCCUCUGACGUUAGCGGCGGACGGGUGAGUAACACGUGGAUAACCUACCUAUAAGACUGGGAUAACUUCGGGAAACCGGAGCUAAUACCGGAUAAUAUAUUGAACCGCAUGGUUCAAUAGUGAAAUACGUUUUUUCUGUCUCUUAUAGAUGGAUCCGCGCCGCAUUAGCUAGUUGGUAAGGUAACGGCUUACCAAGGCAACGAUGCGUAGCCGACAUGAGAGGGUGAUCGGCCACACUGGAACUGAGACACGGUCCAGACUCCUACGGGAGGCAGCAGUAGGGAAUCUUCCGCAAUGGGCGAAAGCCUGACGGAGGAACGCGGCGUGAGUGAUGAAGGUGUUGGGAUCGUAAAACUGUGUUAUUAGGGAAGAACAAAUGUGUAAGUAAGUAUGCACGUAAUGACGGUACCUAAUCAGAAAGCCACGGCUAACUACGUG